AUUGCUCAAGAUGAAUGGCUUUGUGUCUGACCUGAGAAACCAAAAAGUCUCUGCAUCCCGUUUGAGAAGCUAUUGGUCUUCUCGUCAGCCAGUCUGGACAUCUAUUCAACUGAUCCACAGUUCCAUGGAGCCUGUUUCAACACAUAACUAAAGAACCAGAGCAAAUACAGCAAAAGCUAAUGUCUGUGACUGGAUUAGCUACUGUAUUGGUGUUGCUACUGACCUAGUGUGCUGGCCAUCAGAUAAUGCCACCAGACAUUAUUUUGUCUCCUGAGAAGACUGAAAGGGGGAGGAUUCAAAGCUGGUUCAAAUUAAUUUUUCUCUGCUCACCCAUUAAUCUGUGUCAAGUUACGCUGGAUAUGCUGUUCCAAGAGACAGCUCGAGCUUCUUUAUCUAUCAUAGUAGCACUACUUUGCUUUUCAAAUCACCAAACAAGAAGCCAUGCCUUAAACAAGCCACUUCAUUAUCUUUUGCUUUGGAUAUUUUUGUGGUUUUUUUUCCUAACAAAAAUAUAAAUAAUUGAUUAUCACUGAUAAUAAUUAAAACAUGUAUUUUUUUCUAGUAGGUCAUAGACUGAAUGGACAGUCUGUAGUCAUUUGUCCAUCAUUUCAAUGGGGAAAUCAAUUCUCAGUUAUCUACGCAUGGCUUGUCUGGAUUGCGGAUUAAAUAGGCCAGGGAUGUACUGACGUCAGUUUAUUUACCACGUGGAAAGUUGACUUUGGACCAGAAGACUGUAUUGAUUCAAACAGCGUGUUUCAUGAGCAUCUGUCAAAUCAUGGCUCCCUCUAGUUCAGCAGCAGAUUAUCUGUGUCACAGCUGUGUGAAGGCCACUCCAACAGCCACUGCAGGCUGUGACAGCGACGUGCAGAGUCAGCUGUCGUGGUCAGGCUCCUACAGGAGCACUGGGGAGAGCAAGGCAGAAAUCUAACACUUCUUUGCACGUUUACUUUGCAUCAACCUGGGCUUAUUUAUGCUCUGGGACUUACUGUGGCAGCCCCUCAGCUGUCUGAAGCUGAGAAAACAAUCUUCUUUGCUCCUUAGACUACCAGCACAGGAGAGAUUUCCAACUUUUAAUAAACUAGUUUGCAAGUAGUUAGUUUAGUUUAGUUAAUACUAAAUUAGGGUACACUGCCUACACUGUGCUUGUAGGCAAGGCUGCUGUUUCCAAAAACUGGUUAUGUCUUCAGCAAGCUCUCAUUCCAUGUGUUUCCCAGCAAAAUGGUUUUCCUUUUCACCUUCAGCAGCAAACAUGGACUGCUUGACUAUAACUCGUGUUUACUAUAAAUUAAUAGAAUGUGGUGAGUUUAGGUCUUAAUGCAGCUCAUCGGUUUAAAUUUAAAUGUUUAGGUGUUUAAAUAAGAGACUCUAUGUCAAAAUGAUAUCAACAAAAAGGAUCUGGUUUGUUUUGUUUAACUGAAAAAAAAAUUACAGAUUUGUAUUUACUUUGUUAUCUUUAUCCUUUAUUAUUUCAAAGAGAUUCUGAAUAGAGGUGUUAUCUCACCUCUAACUGUGCUCUUGUAAUCUUGUAAUUCACCAAAUCAGUAAUUUAUAUUUCUGUUGAAAGCGAGAAGUAAUUAACUCAUGUAUUGCAUCCUUUUCUUUGCAGGUCUUUAAUUUUCAGGAAGUAUCUGCACUAG